UACGAAGGGGGCUAGCGUUGUUCGGAAUUACUGGGCGUAAAGCGCGCGCAGGCGGUCUUCCAAGUCAGUGGUGAAAGCCCGGAGCUCAACUCCGGAACUGCCAUUGAAACUGUUGGACUUGAGUACGAGAGAGGUGAGUGGAAUUCCCAGUGUAGAGGUGAAAUUCGUAGAUAUUGGGAAGAACACCGGUGGCGAAGGCGGCUCACUGGCUCGUAACUGACGCUCAUGCACGACAGCGUGGGGAUCAAACAGG
rnacentral:rRNA from 1 species